rnacentral:lncRNA from 1 species
UCAGACGUCCACUCUGUCCCCGUGUCUGCAGAGCCGUGAAACAGAGCUCCUCGCGGUGCUAGCAGUGGGCACUCGCCCGUAACCACAGAGCUGGGGCUGCGGCCUUUGGGCCACAGCGAGAAGAGGGAGGACACGGAGCCACAGGGUAAGCACAGGACAGGUCCCUGCCUGGCGGCUGCGCACCACAAGACACAGGGACGCCAACUGGACUCCGUUACUGCCGCCUCGACCAGGUACAAGGGGAGGCCGAUUUCCACGGCGCUUUGUUAAAGCGAACUCUGUAUAAACAGUUCUAUACAAAGAUGUAGCGUAUGACUGCCGGCCGCCCCCUUCAUGCUCAGCGGUCGGGGACCGUCACGGUCCUGGGGCACAGUCUGAUGCAGCCAUUAACAAUGAUGUUUAGGGGUGCCUAACAUCAGUCCCUGGAGCUCAGGCCCUCGAGCAUCUGGCUCUUGAUUUCGGCUCAGGUCAUGACCUCAGGGUCAUGGCAUCGAGCCCCGAGUCGGGCUCCACGCUCAGCAGGGAGUCUGCUUGAGGUUCUCUCUCCCUCUGCCCCUCCCCCAGCUCGCAGGCUCUCUAAAUAAAUAAAUAAAUAAAUAAAUAAAUAUUUUUUUAUAAUGAUGUUUAUGGAGAAUUUUAAUGACCUAAGAAGUGUUUUCGGUCUCAUCUGAAGUGAAAACCAAGAUGUGACACGCUACGGGCGUGUGUGUAAUUCAAUAAAAAGCAAAAAGAAAAAACUACAUGCUGUGAGCUCGACCUCAUUUAACGACUGCAGGCAAAAACCUGAAAGAAACUCAAAAGCGCGAACCUUGCUAUUUCUGGGGGGUGCAAUUGCGAGUGACUGACACGUUUUCAGGGCUUCGUCGUUACCGCAUUUCCAGAUUUCUACCAUAAACGCUUUGAGAUGUUCAGGUUAUUUGAAUAAAGGCGCGGCGCGUCUCCCGUCUUCAAGGAGCCCCCGUCUCUGGAAAAUCUUCUUUUAGGGCCUGGGAGUGUGUGUAUACAUUUUGCAGCUGGAGGCAGAGCUUGGGUCAGCUAGGGGGGUGUGUUGACGGCAAAUAAUGGAAACCCAGUAACAUUGAGGGGGUUGCCCCCCCCCCCCCCGCCAGGUCACAGGAAGUCCCCGUUAGGCCACCCAGGGCUGCUGCGGCUCCAUGAUGCUGUCGUGGACAAUGCUGCUAUCAAAGAGCAGGCCUGUUAUGCCCCCCAAACCCCUGCCUUUCC